GGGCAAUUCCAGCAGCUAAAGAGGAGUUAUUUUGCUAUUAUUCCUCUGUCUAAACCAGGGAAAAGCUGGCUUGAGGCUUAGCCAAGUUUGGACUUGUUUGUUCACAGCAUGUUUCCGAUUCAUUUUGCAUUAAAUUGGUGACCUUGGGGGGUUGGUUUAGAAGGUGUCUCAACUAACGCGAGGUUGCGACGGGCCUUUGGAUUAUCUCCAGCUGCUAUUGGAGAGCCUUUAGAGGUUAAA